CAGUAGCCGCGGUAAUACAGAGGGUGCGAGCGUUAAUCGGAUUUACUGGGCGUAAAGCGUGCGUAGGCGGCUUUUUAAGUCGGAUGUGAAAUCCCUGAGCUUAACUUAGAAUUGCAUUCGAUACUGGGAAGCUAGAGUAUGGGAGAGGAUGGUAGAAUUCCAGGUGUAGCGGUGAAAUGCGUAGAGAUCUGGAGGAAUACCGAUGGCGAAGGCAGCCAUCUGGCCUAAUACUGACGCUGAGGUACGAAAGCAUGGGGAGCAAACAGGAUUAGAUACCCCAGUAGUCCCUGUCUCUUAUACC
rnacentral:rRNA from 1 species